AAUCAUAACCAGAAUUUUGAUAGAAACAACUGUUUAAGAUAAUUUGAUUAAAACUUAGCUAGCACGUUUUAUUGAUAGUUAUCUUAAGCAAAUAGAAUCUAAGCUAAAUUGAUUCUGAAAACAAAAAAAUUGAUUUGACCUUGAUGAAUCUUCCUAUUGCCUCACAUGCUUGUUCUUGAACCAUCUUGGUUAAUGAAACUAUCUCUUUAGUUCAAGUGACAUGUGCUUGCUUAUAUUUAGACAAUCUCUUGAGUAAAGUGACUCAAUAUUCAAUUAUUGUCAUAUCUUAUGUUGAGUCAUCUAGUUAAGAAAUAUAUUGUAUGAA
rnacentral:lncRNA from 1 species